rnacentral:rRNA from 1 species
AUUGAACGCUGGCGGCAGGCCUAACACAUGCAAGUCGAGCGAGCGGCGGACGGGUGAGUAAUGUAUGGGGACUGCCCGAUAGAGGGGGAUAACUACUGGAAACGGUGGCUAAUACCGCAUACUAUCGGAUAACCCAUAUGGGAGUAGCUAGUAGGUGGGGUAAAGGCUCACCUAGGCGACGAUCUCUAGCUGGUCUGAGAGGAUGAUAAGGAAAACUGGAACUGAGACACGGCGCAGAGGAGUACGGAGGAAGCAGGGGGGAAUAUGGGACAAUGGGCGCAAGCCGGAUGCAGCCAUGCCGCGUGUAUGAAGAAGGGAUGAGGAUUGUAAAGAACUUUCAGCGGGGAGGCGUUACCCACAGAAGAAGCACCGGCUAACGCCGUGCCAGCAGCCGCGGUAAUAC